rnacentral:rRNA from 1 species
GACGAACGCUGGCGGCGUGCCUAAUACAUGCAAGUAGAACGCUGAAGAGAGGAGCUUGCUCUUCUUGGAUGAGUUGCGAACGGGUGAGUAACGCGUAGGUAACCUGCCUUGUAGCGGGGGAUAACUAUUGGAAACGAUAGCUAAUACCGCAUAACAAUGGAUGACACAUGUCAUUUAUUUGAAAGGGGCAAUUGCUCCACUACAAGAUGGACCUGCGCUGUAUUAGCUAGUAGGUGAGGUAAUGGCUCACCUAGGCGACGAUACAUAGCCGACCUGAGAGGGUGAUCGGCCACACUGGGACUGAGACACGGCCCAGACUCCUACGGGAGGCAGCAGUAGGGAAUCUUCGGCAAUGGGGGCAACCCUGACCGAGCAACGCCGCGUGAGUGAAGAAGGUUUUCGGAUCGUAAAGCUCUGUUGUAAGUCAAGAACGGGUGUGAGAGUGGAAAGUUCACACUGUGACGGUAGCUUACCAGAAAGGGACGGCUAACUACGU